rnacentral:rRNA from 1 species
UACGUAGGGCGCAAGCGUUAUCCGGAAUUAUUGGGCGUAAAGAGUUCGUAGGCGGUUUGUCGCGUCUGCCGUGAAAGUCCGGGGCUCAACUCCGGAUCUGCGGUGGGUACGGGCAGACUAGAGUGAUGUAGGGGAGACUGGAAUUCCUGGUGUAGCGGUGAAAUGCGCAGAUAUCAGGAGGAACACCGAUGGCGAAGGCAGGUCUCUGGGCCGAUACUGACGCUGAGGAGCGAAGGCGUGGGGAGCGAACAGG